UACGAAGGCAGCAGUGGGGAAUAUUGCACAAUGGGCGCAAGCCUGAUGCAGCCAUGCCGCGUGUAUGAAGAAGGCCUUCGGGUUGUAAAGUACUUUCAGUCGUGAGGAAGGUGUUAAGGUUAAUAACCUUAGCAAUUGACGUUAGCGACAGAAGAAGCACCGGCUAACUCCGUGCCAGCAGCCGCGGUAAUACGGAGGGUGCGAGCGUUAAUCGGAAUUACUGGGCGUAAAGGGCACGCAGGCGGUUAAUUAAGUUGGAUGUGAAAUCCCCGGGCUUAACCUGGGAAUGGCAUUCAAGACUGGUUAGCUAGAGUCUUGUAGAGGGGGUAGAAUUCCAUGUGUAGCGGUGAAAUGCGUAGAGAUGUGGAGGAAUACCGGUGGCGAAGGCGGCCCCUGGACAAAGACUGACGCUCAUGUGCGAAAGCGUGGGGAGCGAAACAGGGAUUAGAUACC
rnacentral:rRNA from 1 species